UCACCAGAGCCAGCCCUGCCUGCUGUUUCCUGAACUAAGUGCUUCUGCCCACCCAGAGCAACUGAUUCUAAGGCCUGACUCUAACAAUGGCCUUCGCAAAUCUGCGCAAAGUACUCAUCAGUGACAGCCUGGACCCCUGCUGCCNGAAGAUCCUGCAAGAUGGAGGGCUGCAGGUGGUGGAGAAGCAGAACUUGAGCAAGGAGGAGCUGAUAGCUGAACUCCAGGACUGUGAAGGCCUCAUUGUCCGUUCAGCUACUAAGGUCACUGCUGAUGUCAUCAAUGCAGCAGAGAAGCUCCAGGUGGUGGGCAGGGCUGGCACAGGCGUGGACAAUGUGUAUCUGGAGGCUGCCACGAGGAAGGGCAUCCUAGUCAUGAACACCCCCAACGGGAACAGCCUCAGUGCUGCGGAGCUCGCCUGUGGGAUGAUCAUGUGCCUGGCCAGGCAGAUUCCCUAGGCAACGGCUUCAGUGAAAGAUGGCAAAUGGGACCGGAAGAAGUUCAUGGGGACAGAACUGAACGGGAAGACACUGGGAAUUCUUGGCCUUGGCAGAAUAGGAAGAGAAGUGGCCACCCGAAUGCAGUCCUUUGGAAUGAAGACUGUAGGCUAUGACCCCAUCAUCUCUCCUGAAGUUGCGGCCUCCUUUGGUGUUCAGCAGCUACCGCUGGAGGAGAUCUGGCCUCUCUGUGACUUCAUAACUGUCCAUACCCCACUCCUGCCCUCCACCACAGGCUUGCUGAAUGACAGCACCUUUGCUCAGUGCAAGAAAGGCGUGCGAGUGGUGAACUGUGCUCGAGGAGGCAUUGUGGAUGAAGGUGCCCUGCUGCGUGCCCUGCAGUCUGGUAACGCCACUAAAUCUUAUCCUGAGAGGUCUGAGUGUUGUGGCAUGCUGCCUGGAUAA